rnacentral:rRNA from 1 species
UACGUAGGCAGCGAGCGUUGUCCGGAAUUAUUGGGCGUAAAGCGCGCGCAGGUGGUUCUUUAAGUCUGAUGUGAAAGCCCACGGCUCAACCGUGGAGGGUCAUUGGAAACUGGGGAACUUGAGUGCAGAAGAGGAAAGUGGAAUUCCAAGUGUAGCGGUGAAAUGCGUAGAGAUUUGGAGGAACACCAGUGGCGAAGGCGACUUUCUGGUCUGUAACUGACACUGAGGCGCGAAAGCGUGGGGAGCAAACAGG